CGCUAUCACUCCUACGGGGAGCAGCAGUAGGGAAUCUUCCACAAUGGGCGCAAGCCUGAUGGAGCAACACCGCGUGAGUGAAGAAGGGUUUCGGCUCGUAAAGCUCUGUUGUUAAAGAAGAACACGUAUGAGAGUAACUGUUCAUACGUUGACGGUAUUUACCAGAAAGUCACGGCUAACUACGUGCCAGCAGCCGCGGUAAUACGUAGGUGGCAAGCGUUAUCCGGAUUUAUUGGGCGUAAAGAGAGUGCAGGCGGUUUUCUAAGUCUGAUGUGAAAGCCUUCGGCUUAACCGGAGAAGUGCAUCGGAAACUGGAUAACUUGAGUGCAGAAGAGGGUAGUGGAACUCCAUGUGUAGCGGUGGAAUGCGUAGAUAUAUGGAAGAACACCAGUGGCGAAGGCGGCUACCUGGUCUGCAACUGACGCUGAGACUCGAAAGCAUGGGUAGCGAACAGGAUUAGAUACCCUGGUAG
rnacentral:rRNA from 1 species